rnacentral:rRNA from 1 species
UACGUAGGGCGCAAGCGUUAUCCGGAAUUAUUGGGCGUAAAGAGCUCGUAGGCGGUUUGUCGCGUCUGCCGUGAAAGUCCGGGGCUCAACUCCGGAUCUGCGGUGGGUACGGGCAGACUAGAGUGAUGUAGGGGGAGACUGGAAUUCCUGGUGUAGCGGUGAAAUGCGCAGAUAUCAGGAGGAACACCGGUGGCGAAGGCGGGUCUCUGGGCCGUAACUGACGCUGAGGAGCGAAAGCGUGGGGAGCGAACAGG